UACAGAGGUCUCAAGCGUUUGUUCGGAUUCAUUGGGCGUAAAGGGUGCGUAGGUGGCGCGCUAAGUCAGGUGUGAAAUUUCGGGAGCUUAACUCCGAAACUUGCAUUUGAUACUGGCGUGCUUUGAGGACUGGAGAGGAGACUGGAAUUCAUGGUGUAGCAGUAGAAAUGCGUAGAGAUCAUGAGGAAGACCAGUGGCGAAGGCGGGUCUCUGGACAGUUCCUGACACUGAGGCACGAAGGCCAGGGGAGCAAACGGG
rnacentral:rRNA from 1 species